rnacentral:lncRNA from 1 species
AGAAGAAGCAAGAAUUAAAACAAUUAAUCAGAUCCCAGAAACCAAAUAUCAAAUUUCAAACAGUCUACAAAUUCCGACAGUGAGUCGAACUAUGAGAACAAAACAAUCUAGUAGAAGCUCAAAUUUCACACAAUUUACAAAAAUCCUAUUCCUUAACACAAAGCAUGGUGCGAGGCACCACACAAACUUUCGCCGAGUACACAGUUAACAGUGUAACAAACCGAGCUAGUUGGAAGAGAGACAGAAAUUUUCCCGGAGUGAAAUAGAAAAACUGUAAGAACGCGUGCGUUUCUUAGUGUUUUCGUGUGUAAGAGAUAUGGAUGGACGGAUGGAUACCGGUGCUGGGAUCGAGGAUGUGCAGAGCAAUGACACGAUCCCCAGACUGUGCCACUUUCACCAGCGCCCACGUCAGCAACUCCCUGCUUCGCGCAUCCAACUUCACCCCGACAACCACUACCGCACCACCACCUGUCCCGUCGUCACCGUUUUUUAUGGUGGUGGCGGCGGUCGCGGUGGCGCUACAUUCCUCGACUCCAGUACGUUCAACCAAUCUCAUUUCCGUACAAACGGAUCAAGGAAACGUCACAAUUUGGUGUGAAUUUCCCACUCCUCUGUUCUUUCUUGGUGUAUCCGUAUAUUGAUGGGGUGGUUUUACUCCUUUUCUCUCUCUAUAAUUGAGUUUAUUCUACGUUGUGUCGCUCUUUGCAUUGAAGUUCGGAAUUGGGGAAUCUUUAAUAAGCGGAUAAUUAUUAGGUGUUUAUCCGGACUGCGGUGCUCCCAUGAACGGCAAAUCCUAG